rnacentral:tRNA from 1 species
CCGCCGAUAGCUCAGCAGGAAAGAGCAACUGCCUUCCAGGCAGUGAGUCCGGGGUUCAAGUCCUCGUCGGCGGACCA